AUUGAACGCUGGCGGCAGGCCUAACACAUGCAAGUCGAGCGGAUGGAGGGAGCUUGCUCCUGGAUUCAGCGGCGGACGGGUGAGUAAUGCCUAGGAAUCUGCCUGGUAGUGGGGGAUAACGUCCGGAAACGGGCGCUAAUACCGCAUACGUCCUGAGGGAGAAAGUGGGGGAUCUUCGGACCUCACGCUAUCAGAUGAGCCUAGGUCGGAUUAGCUAGUUGGUGGGGUAGAGGCCUACCAAGGCGACGAUCCGUAACUGGUCUGAGAGGAUGAUCAGUCACACUGGAACUGAGACACGGUCCAGACUCCUACGGGAGGCAGCAGUGGGGAAUAUUGGACAAUGGGCGAAAGCCUGAUCCAGCCAUGCCGCGUGUGUGAAGAAGGUCUUCGGAUUGUAAAGCACUUUAAGUUGGGAGGAAGGGCAGUAAGUUAAUACCUUGCUGUUUUGACGUUACCAACAGAAUAAGCACCGGCUAACUUCGUG
rnacentral:rRNA from 1 species